rnacentral:rRNA from 1 species
UACAGAGGUCCCAAGCGUUGUUCGGAUUCACUGGGCGUAAAAGGUGCGUAGGUGGCCGUGGAAGUUCGAUGUGAAAGCUCGGAGCUUAACUCCGAAAUGGCAUUGAAUACUCUACGGCUCGAGGGUCGGAGGGGAGACUGGAAUUCUCGGUGUAGCGGUGGAAUGCGCAGAUAUCAGGAAGAACACCAACGGCGAAGGCAGCUCGCUAGGACGGAACUGACGCUGAGGCGCGAAAGCGUGGGGAGCAAACAGG